AACGAACGCUGGCGGCAGGCUUAACACAUGCAAGUCGAACGAUGUAGCAAUACAUAGUGGCGCACGGGUGAGUAACGCGUGGGAAUAUACCUUAUAGUGGGGAAUAACUUUGGGAAACUAAAGCUAAUACCGCAUACGCCCGAGAGGGGAAAGAUUUAUCGCUAUAAGAUUAGCCCGCGUGAGAUUAGGUAGUUGGUGGGGUAAUGGCCUACCAAGCCUACGAUCUCUAGCUAGUCUGAGAGGAUGAUCAGCCACACUGGAACUGAGACACGGUCCAGACUCCUACGGGAGGCAGCAGUGGGGAAUAUUGGGCAAUGGACGAAAGUCUGACCCAGCCAUGCCGCGUGAAUGAUGAAGGCCUUAGGGUUGUAAAGUUCUUUCGCCGAUGAAGAUAAUGACGGUAGUCGGAGAAGAAGCCCCGGCUAACUUCGUGCCAGCAGCCGCGGUAAU
rnacentral:rRNA from 1 species